UAUCCUAAAUGACUGAUUGUUUUUAAAACCGUAGUCGAAACCUUGGUUUGUUCAUUUAUUGCGACUGCAUCGUUUCAGAAUAAAAGUGACCACGAAAAACUCUUUUAUGUUGUCUUAAACUUUGCAAGGAAAGUGUGAACUUACAAAACGUUUUACACUCGAACACUUUCGUCACUUAACUACCAAAAGUCCGCCAAUUGCCCUCAGAAUUUUUUUUAAUUUCAAGAAUCAAGAUUAACAUUAAGUCAUACUUGAUAAGCUUUAGUAUUUUAGAUAAGCCCUAGUAUUCGUUUUAGUAUUUGGCUCCUUUGUACUCGACCUUGAGACCCUGUUCGUAUGAAAGAUAAAUAUUUAUCUACUGAAUAACGAUUUCAGUAAUCUGGAAAUUAUUAAUUCUUUUUUUUUUUCCGCAUCAAAAUACAUGUAGUUGAUUGCAACAGUGUAUGAGGGUUUUGCAAGAGAAUAUUGACAAGAAUACAACUUGCCAGAGGAUAUUUUCAGCAGAAUAUUUUUCCUGCUUUGGGUUAAAAGUAUCUUUGAGCAACUCCUUUUGUAGCUUUUCAAUUAACUAUGUGGAUGGCUCUCUGAUUUUACAGUGAAAGGAUGUUAUAAUUUGGCCAUUUUGCGGUCAAAAUCCUUGUGAAUGACAUUUUCCUCGAAUUUAAAAAUUUCGAAAUAGAAACAAAUGCAAAAUUAUUCAGUUAUACAGAAAUAGGCUUGCAUUCCAACUUUUUGCCCAUGCUUGUUCACUAGGCUCUGACACUUUGAAGAAGAUUAUAGUGCUUUAUUCAAGAAAAAUGCAGCCAUUCUGCCCAAACAGUGACAAACAAUCGCUUCACGGCAACAACACACGCACCGUACGUUUUGUUGAUUUGAUUUUGAGGCAUUCUCUCUUUUGUACCAAGAUCGGAAACUUAAAAUAACCUUGGGUAACGAGAUCUACCGCCACUUGCACUGGUUUAAGAUAAAAGUGCAGAUUCUCCCUAUCGAUCAAAAUACGAGAACUUAUCCUGCUCUACGUGCCUAAUGUUUCCUUCCGUGUGAACCGCUGACAUGAAACAUUACAGUUUCUGACAAACUACAACCCUGCAUUGUUUCAAAAAGAGGAAAAAAUCGCGCAGAUACAACAGUGGAUGGCAUUAGCAAAAUACUUCUAGCAUUCUCGCGAUCUUCACGAAGUAUGAUAAGCUUAGUUCUAUUAAAACCUAGCUUUAAAACCUAACUUUACUCUCCUUAGUACAAAUUUUUAGAAAAGAAUGAUCUUUGACCUCGACAAGAGGCGGUACUGUUCAAAAAGCUUUUAUCAGCUAAUUAAGAUAAGUACUCAAAUGACCGCAUGUUCUUGCAACAAAGAUUUACUUUAAUCUUAAAUUGUUUCUUUAAAAUGUCUCAUUGCAUAAUACUUUUAGGACAUUUUUGAAGAAAUGAAAACGUAUUGAAUGGCUACAGACGAAGUCAUCUUUGGGAUGAGAUAUUCUUGCACAAGAAUCACUAAUAAAACAAAGGGUUAAAAAACAAGUACCACACAAAGUAAUCAACUUUAGAAAACAAUAGCUUUUGUAAUUGUUUGUCGAAACGGACUUUGUACCCAAAAAGGCAGAUUUCCAAAUAUGAAAGAAGCUUUCGUAGUCUACCCGAAAGAAAGAGGAAAGCGAAGAAAAUCAUUUCGAGACAUCAACGCCAUUGACUUCGUAACCUGAGGCUUCUGAGUUGUUAGUAGAUUUUGCAAAGAUGAAAAGAAAUAGGAGUGUGACAGAGAAAGGUAAGUGCAGAAGUACGAACGAAAAAUACUGUGCAUUCAUUUUUUGAUAGAGCUAGAGCUGUGAGAAGCUAUUCUAAAUGAGAAGGAAGAUAACGUUUUACCUUUCAAAAUCAAGCGAAGUCCACUCAGCAUAUUGUCUUAGUGUUUUCACUCGCAGGCGUUCAGAAGUAUCGAGAUUAAUUGUCUUGGUGGAAGUGGAUGCGACCAAGGUCAACUAUUCCCUAAAAACAAAAAAAACCAACCUUGGGUCAGUUAUUACAGACAAAAAAGAAAAUGAUUUUAGCAAUACACGACGUUUCAACAGGUCGUCCAUCAGUCAUGGAAUGCCAUUUCAAUCAAAUGGGUACCAAAUUAACACUAGUGUACAAAAAGGUAGGUGAGAAAAAGUACAUGGAAAUUAUUCAUGAUUGUUGUCGAGAGAUGCUAUUGGCAAUAAAACAACUCAGACAAAAGUCUUGAAUGCAAGUGCUCGCCUAAGGGUUAAAUUCUAAUCAAGUAACGUUUUCUAUCUCCCCCCAUGACAUUUCAAUGUUAUCAAUUUAUGAAAAAAACUUUUUAUUGCUCGCAUUUUACACCUUGCGCCUGAAAGUGCAACAGUUAUUUAUUUUAUCUCAGUGUGAAUGACCGCCCUAGAUCAAGUCUGACAGAAACCAACCUCCAUUAUUAUCAUCAUUAUUAUUAUUAUUUUGACAGUGAUGCUGCUUUGUGAUUUAUCACCUAAGGUAACACACGAAUGUGUUCAUUGAGAAAAUAUUCGCCUCCCGGCUCUGUUGGAAACCGCAUAGUCUGUGAGCCGGAUCCGGCAGAAGAGCUCAAGUCCCCAGUUCAAAUCAACGUAAUUUGUAUCAGAGAGACAGGGGAGUCUAAAAUGUUUUAUUAAAUGCUCGACACGACCAUUUUAAUCCACCUAGUUUUCAUUUAUUUGCCAGAAAAACAAUCUCUCUCUUGUCACGUAAACUAUUUGAGAAAAAGUACUUAAAAAUUAUUUUGUGACUAAUUUGAAACCAAGAAUGUGCAAAUUUCAAACUAAAAUCGUGCAAUAAUGGAUUGUUGAAGACAUUAAUUCGAUACGAUAAGAAUACUUAGAAAAAUCUACUCUACUUAAGUAAACAAGAUCAAAUGGUUGUAAAUGAACGAAAUCUUUGAUGACAAGAGGCAUUCAGCAAAAGGCAAUUGCACAUCAAGGGAGAAGAUUCAUCUGUCAUUCCUAUACAUCCAUGCCACAUCAUUCCAGCGUGUUACUUGUUUCAAGUUCAGCGCUUUCCUCUGCGUAAUAUUGAAUCAUACUAAAUAGAUUUAGCAAUUCAGAUAACCCAGAUUCUAUUAUUUCAUUACGUAACCUCAAGAGAUCUACAACGCUCUAUGCUAAAACGAGAUACAAACAUGAACACAUCCUACCGACCGAUAUCGACCUCCUUACUGCGACAACUUGGCUUUCAAGGCUUGAUCAACGACAGCGAAGAAGAAAGCAGCUUAUCAUAAGCCGGUCUUACAAUAAACAACAAAGUUGAGCACGAGUACAAGCUCCCUCUUCUAUGAAGCACUAACUUAUGUACUUUGAGCCGGCUUGUUAAUUGCGCGCGCACGUGUUCAAGGAGCCUCAGUUUGUAGUCUAUCUUGCAUGUUUUUCGUGAAAGGGAUUCUUUUAGCACAAGUCGGGUUGGAGCGGCUUCUCCUGUUGCCGCAAAAGGCUUGGUGAGAUUGUCAUUGAAUUUAAUAGAGUUUAAUGGUUAGAGCUCAUGGGCCAACUGGAGAAGUGCUUUAGGCCAAGUUGAAAGUAACCUGGAAGAUAAGACAUCUCGCCAAAGAAUCCGUCUCCCUUUACAGCAAAAGAUGUUCAAACUGAAUGGAUGCGGCACCUACGAAGACACUGUGCGUUGGCGAAACUUCACAUUAAAGUCAGAGAUUGCGCCAAAUUUAUUGACUUUUUUGGCGAGUAAAACAGACGAAUUUACCAAUUUUUAAAUGUAAACAAAAUCUGGAAUGAUUUAAGCAGUGAAUAUCAGAGAUGCCAUGUUUAACCUUAUCCUUGCCACUAGCAACCUCAGUGGUAGGUUAAACAAUGAGAUGGGUACAAAUUCUUGGGGAAAAUAAAGCAAAUCAAGAUAAAAACACUCGUACGGGUGCUAUCCAAUAACUUGAUUUCAAGUGCUAUUUUUCCGGUUAAAAAUUACAAAAGACUCGGAUAUAGUUCAGACUGAAAAACCAAAGACAAAAUUGCAUUGAAUUCUGCUCUUUUGCCUUGUAAAGUGUGGUUAUCGGGUCGGCAAAUGCUGAUUCUACUGUGACUGAUCCGUCCGCAGUCUUUACAGUAGUUGAAGUUGCCAUUAUAACGUAAUCCACUAAAUGAGACAUCUUUCAUUUGGAAAUACGUCUGUUACGAUCAUGGAGAACAAGCACCGAAACCUAUAAUACCCUGAGUCGAGGUCCUCUACUCUUUCCAUCAAGGACUUUUCCUUAGGUCUUAGGGUUGGAUGUCUUAGUUUCGGUAAUACCGUUCCGAGAGCCACAAUCAGACCAAGAUCCCGACAUAUGCAAAUGUAUUUGUCCUUGCGGUGACUGCAAAGUAUUGUCUGAAGUCAUGCAAGUUUUGGUUCGAUACUAAUUUUAGCAUCGCCUUCGAGAACUGUGUCAGGUCUCUAUUAUUAAAUAAAUUUAAAAAACUUAAUCUACUGAACUAUCCAAAAACUGGAAACGCAGCUGACCCAAGAGCUAAUUAAAAUACAAACGGAAAUCAAGACGAGGCAUGAAACUGAAUAUUUUAUACCUAUUUCUUCCUUAACUGAAACGAAAACAAAAAAACAGAAAACCAAAAGAAACAAAAAGAAAAAAAAAACAAAUAAGCGUAAUUCAAGGGUGGCCAAAAUUGUUUGAAACCACUAGUUAAAUGGACAAACAUAACUCAACGCAAAGUUAAGGCUAUGAGACUUAAUCUGAGACAAUGUAGAAUAAUUAUCAUCGACAAAAUCCUCAUCAUGAUCUCCUUGGAAUAUUGCCAUUAUCGUUCUGUUCAAAAUUACGUAUUUCAUCCCCGCAAUUCAACUUAAUUCCAAAGUUUUACCUGUAGUUGGUCAUAAGAAAAUAACUGCUUUACGGAGUGAAAAUAUAUCAUUUAGAUGUACCUUUUAAAUGUUCAAGAAUUGUGAAUUCCUUGUUGAGCGAACUUUGCCUUCAGCCUCGCCAUGUUUCCCUUUUACCGAUGAAGCCAAUGAACUUGCAAUGUAAUCGGUGAAAUAUUAUAAUUGAAGUGCCGUAUUCUCGUUUGGACACUCAUGAAGAUAUUGCAGAUCGACAAACUGUUCAUCAGAGAAGCUCACUUUGUGAACUCUACUUUUUGAGUCGAGAAUCACACGGGAAGUGUUUGAUAUCUGGGCUAAGAAAUUACUAUAUGAUUGCAUUUCUGCCUGUUGGAGCGGUUUCUUUUAGCUGUACGCCUUCUUUGUAGCCUGAUCCUCAAUCUGAGUCAGUGAGCAAUCUUGCAUUACUAUCUUUGAACCAUUUUAACCAACAAUAGAAAAUGUAAUUUGCUCAGACAAAAUGCAACUAAACUUGGUGCCUUUUGUUCGUAAUGUGGGAAAUGCCAUUAAACAUCAUUCUUUGCGUAGGAUGACCUGUGUUCUCUGUCUGCUCAUAUGAAAUAACUUACGAAGGAUCUGUAGUUUCUAAAAGUGAUCUGAAUGUUCUCGCAAAGUAUAUCUGUAUUGAAAUAAUUAGUUAAUACUUCCAUUGUCUUUUAAAGCAAUAUCAAUUGUCUAUUAAUUUCUGUCAAGGUGAGGUCGACCGAAAAUGUCGACCGGAUAAACUCUGACUGCGUAAGUGCAACUGCCAGCGAUUUAAA